CAUUUUUAGAACAAGUCUCAUGGUAUAGUCCAGGCUUCUCUGGAAUUCACUAUGUAGUCGAGGUUGGCCUCAGAUUCACAGCAACCCUCCUGCCUUAACUUCCCUGGUGCUGGAUUUACAGACUGUAUCCACAACAGUGUGAAGCCAGGCCGGACAAAGAGUACCCAACUUCAUAACCUAAAGGAUCUUGACCAGAGCGAAUGGAACUCAACGCAGCCGGGUGGAACCGGCUGGGCCUGCUGAAGCUCAGGUCCUGGACACCAGGGGGAGCCAGAGGCAGCAUAGCGGUGCUGUGAUAGGCGUAAGCGAGGCCUCUUUCCAGAUUGCUCCAAACCUAAGACACAGACAGCUCCUCUGCCCAAGGAGGCUCCUGGUCUGGCAUCAGCUACAUAUGACAGCUUUGCAGCCCUCACUGCCCGCCCGUCCCAGCAGCAGGACCCCCACCCAAAUCCCUGGCUGGAUUCGAACUCUUUAAGAUGGAGACCAGGAUUAAUUCACCAAUGUGUUCUUUCCAAACUUUUUUUGGUUUUGGUCAUGGUGGUACACAGCCUGGUAAGAUUCAGUCACAUUAAAUUAGAGCUCAUCAAAGAGAAAUAAGUCUGCAAAUAAGGAAAACAAGCAGGGAGUCGGGAGAUGAUGGCACCAAGCACUAAAACAGCCAGAGAGGAGCCGAUUGGUUUGUUUGUUUUUUAAUGUACAAAUGAAAACACCAGUGUCAGGAACUUAGAUUGGUGGUAGUCUUUUUAGCAGAGGUCCUAGGCUCAAUCCCCAGCCCUGGAAAAAGAUAAAAUAAAGUGCAUACUCUUUACGACAA